rnacentral:rRNA from 1 species
UACAGAGGGGGCAAGCGUUGUUCGGAAUUACUGGGCGUAAAGGGCGCGUAGGCGGCCUUCUAAGUCGAACGUGAAAUCCCCGGGCUCAACCCGGGAACUGCGUCCGAUACUGGAAGGCUUGAAUCCGGGAGAGGGAUGUGGAAUUCCAGGUGUAGCGGUGAAAUGCGUAGAUAUCUGGAGGAACACCGGUGGCGAAGGCAGGACUCUGGGCCGAUACUGACGCUGAGGAGCGAAAGCGUGGGGAGCAAACAGG